GUGCCAGCAGCCGCGGUAAGACAGGGGGCGCAAACGUUGUUCGGAAUCACUGGGCAUAAAGCGCACGUAGGCCGCGCGUCAAGUCGCGUGUGAAAUCCCCCGGCUCAACCGGGGAACAGCACGCGAUACUGGCGCGCUCGAGGGUGGUAGGGGUGAGUGGAACUCCAGGUGGAGCGGUGAAAUGCGUAGAUAUCUGGAGGAACGCCGGUGGCGAAAGCGGCUCACUGGACCACAACUGACGCUGAGGUGCGAAAGCUAGGGGAGCAAACGGGAUUAGAAACCCUCGUAGUCC
rnacentral:rRNA from 1 species